ensembl:lncRNA
UCAUAGACCUGGAGAGGGCUUCCCUAGUGGCUCAAACGGUUGAGAAUCCGCCUGCAAUGCAGGAGACCUGGGUUCGAUCCUGGGGUCAAGAAGAUCCCCUGGAGAAGGGCAUGACAACCCAUUCCAGUGUUCUUGCCUGGAGAAUCCCAUGGACAGAGGAGCCUGGCGGGCUACAGUCCAUAGGAUUGCAAAGAAUCAGACACGACUGAAGCAACUUAGCAUGCAUACAUGCAUGGACUUGGAAAGGAUCAUGCUUAGUGAAAUAAGCUAGAUAAAAAGAAGACAAAUUCUGUAUGUUUUCACUGAAACAUGGAAUCCAAAAAAUUAGAUACUUCCCUGGUGGUCCAGUGGUUAAGGUUCCAUACUUCCACUGCAGGGGGUAUAAGUUGGAUCCCUGGCUGGGUGGGGAACUAAGAUCCCAUAUGCCAUAUUAUGUGAUAGAAAACAAAAUACAAUUCAAAAAACAAAACAAUGAAUUUUUAAAAAAGAAGCCCCUGGUGCUGUGUAAAGUUCAUACUCCUGGUCCCACUGCUGAGUACUCCAUGAAGCACCAGGUGAACUGUGCUUCCAAUAAGAGCCUCAGUGAUUCUCAAGCUCGGAGAAGUAGGGAAACCCUGGUUUAAGGCGGGUCACAGCUGAGAAAGAAUGAACUUUCCCUCACCUUGACCAAACCGUCAACAGGUGAAGCUAAAUGGAAACCACCACCAUCAACAAGCAGGGGAAAAAACCUAUGCGAUUUCCUAGUGUUUUCCACAAGUACAUGACCCUUAACCACCAUAUAGCAAGGGUUUGUCACCAGGAUCUCCCUUAAAGAGCUUUCUCAGCACCCCCAGGAUCUUAUAUCAUUGGAUGAAUUGGGAGAAAACUGAGCUAAUGAGUGAAAUGGCCCUCCACAGAGUCCAUGUUGUUAUCCAAUCAACAUCUGUCUCCUAUAAAAGAAACUCAAAGAGCCGUGUUGGAUGUCUCAUCUUGAAAGGAGUUUGACGUUUCUACUUGUUCAAGAGCUGCAUUGCAAGCCAGGUAAAGGGAUCUACAGUUUUUUGCACGUAACUGUAGUGGUGUGUUUGGAAAUCAUUAUAGAAGCUCUUUUCGUCAUUACUCAGUGAGACAAGAUUCAUUAUGAUCUCAUCACCUCGAGUUUAUGGUCAGUCAAACUGGUUUCCAAGAAUAACUCACAUCAAGUGUUCAUAUCAAUUAUACAAACAAUUCUUUUUGUUCUUUGCUGUAUUCAUCGUUUUGCUUUUUGGAAUUGCCAUGGCAGCUUUCCCUCUGGAUCGCAAGACGUUACUCCUGGUAAUCACAAUAAUUAUUACUGCCAUCGUUUUUCUCAUCAUUACUGGAGUGCUCAUUUUUUAUGAAGUCUGCCGAAAGCUGGAGGAAUUUAUCCCUCCCCAAGUGGAAGAAUCAUGGAGGUAUAGAAUCGAACACAUUGAAAUUUAAGCUUCAGCAACAGAUUCCAAUCGUCAGCACCUGACUAUCAUCUUAUCUGAAAUCUGAACCUCCUUGGGACUUUGAACCUUUUUAGUCGUUUGAGCAUUUUAAAAGGAAUAAACGUUGACUUUUUAAAAGAUAAGAUCGUCAUGAUCCCAACUUUUCAAGCUCAUAACCUGAGGAGCUAGCUGCUGAGACUACAGAGUUUAUACAAAUGCAUCUGGCUUUUUUAUUUUGGAGUAAUCACUUUGUUCCUGGAACUCUCUGCAGUGGCUUUCUUUGCUGAUCAGAUACCUUUUCGUCUAGCAAUGAUGAUGGCUAUUUCUGGAACUGUUUCUAUUGUCAUUCCUGCAAUCUUUGCCUUGUCUGAAGCUUGUCAAAACCCAGAAAAUUCACCUUUAAGCCUAGAAGAAUUAUCAAACCUUAGAAACCCCCAGAAGCUUAGAAAUAGCAAUUUUGAAAUGGGAGCACCAACCACAAGCACCUGAUUUAUAGUGCUUUUUAUUUAUUUUUAUUUAUAUUUAUAUUUAUUUAUUUAUUUAUAUUUAUUUAUAUUAUAUUUAUUUUUAUUUAUAUGUUAAACCCCAAAUACCUUUGUGCCUUUGGACAGUUUAAAAAAUCCCUUGAGCAUUGUUUUAAAAAGAAAUAAACUCUGGCUUUUAAAAAGCUUACUAUCUGAUUUUUGGAAUGUUCUUGCCUCUAUGAAAUCUUUCUGCAGAAAUCCUUGUUCUUUCGAAUUCACGUCAAAUGAAGGAACCAGGUUUCGCCUCCCUGUUGCCAUGACUACCAACCUUCUUGCUCCCUUC